rnacentral:rRNA from 1 species
GACGAACGCUGGCGGCGUGCUUAACACAUGCAAGUCGAACGGAAAGGCCCUGCUUUUGUGGGGUGCUCGAGUGGCGAACGGGUGAGUAACACGUGAGUAACCUGCCCUUGACUUUGGGAUAACUUCAGGAAACUGGGGCUAAUACCGGAUAGGAGCUCCUGCUGCAUGGUGGGGGUUGGAAAGUUUCGGCGGUUGGGGAUGGACUCGCGGCUUAGCAGCUUGUUGGGGGGGUAGUGGCUUACCAAGGCUUUGACGGGUAGCCGGCCUGAGAGGGUGACCGGCCACAUUGGGAAUGAGAUACGGCCCAGACUCCUACGGGAGGCAGCAGUGGGGAAUAUUGCACAAUGGGCGGAAGCCUGAUGCAGCAACGCCGCGUGCGGGAUGACGGCCUUCGGGUUGUAAACCGCUUUCGCCUGUGACGAAGCGUGAGUGACGGUAAUGGGUAAAGAAGCACCGGCUAACUACGUG